AUGGUGUCCGCACAGGAGUUUUCUUUCUUUUUUUCUUUCUUUCCCAAGGUGAGGCUCGCCCCUUGCACUCCGGGCGUGCUGACCCCUGCGAUUUCCCCAAAUGCGGGAAACUCGACUGCAUAAUUUGUGGUAGUGGGGGACUGCGUUCGUUCGUUCGUUCG